GACGAACGCUGGCGGCGUGCUUAACACAUGCAAGUCGAACGGAAAGGCCCUGCUUUUGUGGGGUGCUCGAGUGGCGAACGGGUGAGUAACACGUGAGUAACCUGCCCUUGACUUUGGGAUAACUUCAGGAAACUGGGGCUAAUACCGGAUAGGAGCUCCUGCUUCAUGGUGGGGGUUGGAAAGUUACGGCGGUUGGGUAUGGACUCGCGUCUUAUCAGCUUGUUGGUGGGGUAGUGUCUUACCAAGGCUUUGACGGGUAGCCGACCUGAGAGGGUGACCGGCCACAUUGGGACUGAGAUACGGCCCAGACUCAUACGGGAGGCAGAAGUGGGGAAUAUUGCACAAUGGGCGGAAGCAUGAUGCAGCAAAGCCGCGUGCGGGAUGACGGCCUUCGGGUUGUAAACCGCUUUCGCCUGUGACGAAGCGUGAGUGACGGUAAUGGGUAAAGAAGCACCGGCUAACUACGUG
rnacentral:rRNA from 1 species